AGUAGAAUGGCUGAGUUAUUUAGGUGAUAGAUUGUAAAUCUAUUAAGGGGCAUUAAGCCCUUCUACUA
rnacentral:tRNA from 1 species